CAGAGGAGUCCCAGGGGCCCCGCCCGAGGGCACCUCCAUCUCUCUGGGCUGGGCUGACUUCCCCGGUCCAGGGAGCCCCCGCUUCUUCAUUCGGCUCACUGAGCACUUGUGGGGGCACGACCUCAUCUUCUAAAGGCAUCUUUUCUUCCAAAUGGUCCAGCAACUUGAAAUCCAUCAGGUCUGCGUUGGACACGGCAUUGUACAUGGGAUUAGCUCUGGUCUGACCUAGGAGCUGGAAUGCCAGUAAAAGGAGGAAGCUCACGGUGGUGGUGGAGAAGGAGCUCAUGCUGGCGUCGUCAAGGAGCAAUCCACUGCUUGCUGCUCUGUCUCUCCCCUCUGGUUCCUCUCUGGUUCCCCUCUCUUGGCCUACGUCUGUCCCUGUCUCCCAGCUGCCCAGUGCCGC
rnacentral:lncRNA from 1 species